CAGCAGCCGCGGGAAAACGAAGGGUGCAAGCGUUACUCGGAAUUACUGGGCGUAAAGCGUGCGUAGGUGGUGGUUUAAGUCCGUUGUGAAAGCCCUGGGCUCAACCUGGGAAUUGCAGUGGAUACUGGGUCACUAGAGUGUGGUAGAGGAUAGUGGAAUUUCCGGUGUAGCAGUGAAAUGCGUAGAGAUCGGAAGGAACAUCUGUGGCGAAGGCGACUAUCUGGGCCAACACUGACACUGAGGCACGAAAGCGUGGGGAGCAAACAGGAUUAGAUACCCCCGUAGUCCCUGUCUCUUAUAA
rnacentral:rRNA from 1 species